AGCACAGCAGCCCUCGGCGCCUGUUGGCAUCUGUAUAAUAUCACUUGAGCUACUAGUUGCCAAUUCUAUGCUAGGAACUUUGCCUCUGCUGUUUCAACAAAUCCUCACAGCAGCUCUGCGUGACAAUCAUCUCUAUCUUAUCAGCGAGGAAAUCAAGGCUCAGGCCGGCUGAGUCACACCACUAGAAGACGGCCAGCUGAGCCAAGUGUGGGACUCAGGGUAAUUUGACUCCAAAGUCUCCUUUGCUACAUUGCCAGGCUAUGACAAUGCUUGUGUUCACUUUGCCUGAGAUUAAACCAUGACCUAGAAGGAGAAACCUGGAAUUACAAAUCCCUGAGGAAUGAGAGACCUCUGUGCCAUCCCCAGCCUGAGACGCCUAGGAGAGAACAGUUUUGGAGUCUGUCUGUACGCAUGAUUAGAAAAUGAAGGUCCUAAAAAGAAUGAGAUGAAUCUAUUGCCUUCAGAGCCACUUAGAACCCAUUUAGUGGAAGGCUCCAAUUCUAAACAACAUUCAUCUUUAUGAGUAAAGGUAAUGGAUAUGGUCCCACUAAGCUGGAUCUACAAGGUCACUAUCUUAUCUGUUAAAAGAGCAAACAUUUACUCUCUCCAUACUUGGCAUAUUCAGAUGAUUGUAUAUUCCAUGUAAAAUACAUGCCAAUUUCUGGCUUGACCAACUGCAAGUAUGGGUUUCUUAGGCUAAUGGUGUGUAAGAAAAGGAGGGAGACUUCAGGCACAACGCUUCAACCACAGAAUGCUGUUAUAAUAUUUAUCAUUCUGUGGAAAAAUAUCGGAAACAACAUUAAAUGAUUUAUGGUCUUUAUUAUCUUUUGUUCAGACUGUAAUUCUGUGAAGAGGAAUCCAUUACAAGGAAGUUUUAUCAAGUCCACAUAGAUCUGAAAUUAUGCACGCUGUUCAAAACCUGCAGCAGAAAGCCACCUUCAAAGUGAUGGUUUUCUAUCAGGGCUUUACUCCCCGGUAAGAGUGCUCUGUUCCUUCUCCUUGUAGGAUUUUUUAAAAUUUACCAACAUUAUUUUGGGAAUAUCUAAAUGCAUGCAAUCUUCUGCUAAAAGGAACUGAAAAAAAGCAUUCUUUUGUACAUAAAUAAUAACAAUUUUAAAAUCUCUAAUUAGAAGUAGCCUAUAUAGACAGUUGGCUUUGCAAGCUAAAUAUUGUCAAAAAGAAUAGCUAUAAAUCAACUAUCCUGAAAGCAAAGUUACUAUUGUAUAACUGCUCUAUAAAUAGUAGUAUCAUCUUAGUUAUCCUUGAUUUACAUUUGGGGAGCAGUUUAUCUUAAAGAGGGCAACAGGAUAAAGCUGGGAGCUUUACUGUUAUUUUAUUGAAAUUUAUUGAAUUUUUUAUUUGAAAUUUUUCUUUAGACAAAUUUGGUAUUGGUUAGAACAACUGUGAAAUUUUUCAAGCUAAACACCUGUGACUAUAUUAUAUGGAGAGGAAUUCUGAGGGUUCAAUCACCCAUUCAUCGGCAGAGCAGAUUCAAACAAUUCCCUUGGCUCAGCUCCCUAGGCUCAACCUUCCAACAGAGGAGGGCAGCCUUCAAUUCAAGCACAAGUCCUUGUUAUUCAAUUGGCAGCACAGAACAAUUGCUCCGUGGGUACUUAUAAGAGAAAACAGUUGCUAGCUCAGUGACACCAAACAUUCAUCAAAUCUCAGUUGAGGGAAACAAUAUUUAGAAAACAAUGCUUGAAAGAAAUGGACUCCAGUCAUAUCUCCAAAUAAUCUAAAUAACCUAAUCCUACCCCUGAAUCAAGCCAGAUCAGCAAACAGUAGGCAUUUCUAAUGCAUCUUUUCUGCCACUCUACACUGAAUUGUGCUUUUCUGUGUUCAGGGGAAAUAUAAAAAAAAUAGCCUUAUAAAAUCCUCAUAAAAUGCUGCUCAGACACUGUCCUGUUUAUGAGACCCCCUGGAAUCAGAAAUUCCUAACUGAUUCUUAAUGUUGAAAAAGAAUUGUACUUCUGAAAAACACUGCUUCAUUGUAACAUUAUAGACAAUGCCAUGGUUCCCUUUCUGGCUGGAUGGGAAAACUUAAACCUAAAUUUGUGAGGCACUAAUGAACAAGUAAAUAGGUUAUAAGGGCAUGAAUUAUUCUUAACCUUAUUCCUAUAUUUUUUAUGUCUCUGUUUUUGUUUUCUUUCUUCUUUAGCCUAGACAUCUAACCUAUUAUCUUUUAUUUUAUAUACCCAUGCAGGUCACUUAAAGUCUUUCCUAGAAAUAAAACAGAAUAUAAAUACUCUUUUGUUUUAAAAAAUUCUACAUUUAAUAACAAUGUAAUGAAUCACAAUGGAAAAGAUCAAUAGAUUUGACUGUAUGGCAAUCUAAAACUUUUAUAUGUCAAAAACAUCAUAAACAAAAUUGAAAGAAACCAUAAAACAGAAGAAAGACAACAUAAAUAAUAACCAAAGAAGUCAUGCUCUUAGUACAUGAAUAAAGUAUCUAUGUCCAUAAGAACAUGAAAUUUGAUCAAUAAAUAAAAUAAUGAUGGUAAAUCAACCAAGAAAUUUGGACAAAUUUUUCCUUCAAAACAAAUGAAUUUGAAGGAACCUAAAAGUAAUUUAAAUUGCUUUCCUAACAUAGACUCCUACAACUAUAAUGGACCUUUCCUGUUCAAGAUAAUUACAGAGAUCAGUGACCUUGCUUGAGUGUAUCAAAGGUUGCUAUUUACCUGUCUUUCCAGUUCCAUAAAGGAAAAGACAAUUUUGGCUUCUCCUUAUUCCCCAUAUGUUAAUCCUCAAGGAAAGAACAGUAUAUACGUAACCUAACUGGUAGGAGACUGCCAUUCCUUGAGUCACAUUUCCAAGUAAUAAGUUCAUAUAUUACAGGUCGCCACCCAAACAAAAUGCAGACUUGCUCUCUGGUACCCGCCUGUGCACAGGUACAAGGGGGACUCUGGGUAUCUCCGGUCUUCAAGAGGUAAGUAACCAGUGUCUGCCACCACCCUUUCCUCUGCUUUUCAGCCUGAGACUGGGUGGGUAAGCCAGGCAAGGCUCCCUUCCAGAGCCACCUGCCCAUAUUUCCAUGGGGAAAGUAAGUAGGAAGUUCUACUUGGCCACAACAGCUAAACCUCAUCCUUCAAUAUAGCUUUUACCUGAAAUUCAGUGUUGGAGAGAGAGUUCCUGGAAACUUGCCCAGAUCAAUAAAGUUGAUAUUUGUCAUUUAUCUA